rnacentral:rRNA from 1 species
UACACUCCUGCGGGAGGCAGCAGUGGGGAAUAUUGGACAAUGGGCGCAAGCCUGAUCCAGCCAUGCCGCGUGAGUGAUGAAGGCCCUAGGGUUGUAAAGCUCUUUCACCGGUGAAGAUAAUGACGGUAACCGGAGAAGAAGCCCCGGCUAACUUCGUGCCAGCAGCCGCGGUAAUACGAAGGGGGCUAGCGUUGUUCGGAUUUACUGGGCGUAAAGCGCACGUAGGCGGACUAUUAAGUCAGGGGUGAAAUCCCGGGGCUCAACCCCGGAACUGCCUUUGAUACUGGUAGUCUUGAGUUCGAGAGAGGUGAGUGGAAUUCCGAGUGUAGAGGUGAAAUUCGUAGAUAUUCGGAGGAACACCAGUGGCGAAGGCGGCUCACUGGCUCGAUACUGACGCUGAGGUGCGAAAGCGUGGGGAGCAAACAGGAUUAGAUACCCCAGUAGUCCCAUG